AUAGGUUAAGUUAAUAAGGGCGCAUGGUGGAUGCCUUGGCACUAGAAGGCGAUGAAGGACGUGACUAACUACGAUAUGCCUCGGUUAGCUGUAAGUAAGCUUACCCGGGGGUUUCCGAAUGGGGCAACCCGAUCUUAAUGAUCAUCAUCUUUUUGAAUUCAUAGAUUAGAUGAAGCAAACGCUGUGAACUGAAACAUCUAAGUAGCAGUAGGAAAGUAAAGAAAUUUCGAUUCCGUCAGUAGCGGCGAGCGAACGCGGAAGAGCCCAAACCUGGAUGCUUGCAUCCAGGGGUUGUAGGACUGAUGUUGAGUUACAAAGGUAUAAGAUAGCAGAAACAGUUGGGAAGCUGUUCCAAAGAGGGUGACAGGCCCGUAUGCGAAAUCUUGUACUCUCUAAUCAGGAUCCUGAGUACGGCCCAGCACG
rnacentral:rRNA from 1 species